AUUACAUCAAGUAUUAAGAAUAUAGCAACGAGGUUCCGCAACUUGGAAGAGAGACAAUCAUAAGGUUCUGACUUCGAAUCCCCGGGUUACCUCCCUUUAACCCCUUCCUGGGACUUUUGGUGAAGCGCGAGACAAUUUUCGUUCCGAAAAUGCGGCCCAGGGAAAAUUUGUUUGGGAACCACAGCUGUAAGGUGAAACCAUGUCAAAGCAUACACUUGAGCACAAUGCCGUCUUGGGACCCAUUGAAUCUUGCCCAACACUCCAACCCAUGCCAGCAUGGAACACAGACGUUAAACGAGGGUGAUACAGACACACACAUGUUUGUAUAUAGGAGACGGUAAUAUUUAGGUUUAAAAGGGAGUCAUUUGCCGUCCGGCCAUUCCUGUUUAUCGCAAUCCUUUAAUGCGCAUGCUCAACCGGAUAUUCAUCACCAGACACUUAAUGAAUGAAAAUAGUUGUUUUGAAUCUCAUUCAUCGAAAUACUAAUUACAAAUGAUAAGACAAAGAAAAACAAGUUGUAUGUAAUUUAAUCCAUAUAGAUAUACAUACAUACAUUACAGUAAUUCUUGUGUUAUACACGAGAUUGUCUGAUGAUAUUGACAGCAGAGGCUUUUUAACUUGAGAUGAUGGUUUAAAGAAUAAAGGAACGUAUUAUACAAAAAACAUAAAACUAGAUUCAGAUAAACGUCUGGUGGAAUUGCCAUGAAAUAUUUCCAGAGGAUGAGGAUAUUUGUUAGAAAUACAAUAUAAAAAUGGAAAGGAAAUCAUAAGAAAGAAAGGAAGUUUAUGGAAAAUGUCUGAUGUUUGUGCUGCAUUAAAUGUGAAGAAA
rnacentral:lncRNA from 1 species